AUUGAACGCUGGCGGCAUGCCUUACACAUGCAAGUCGAACGGUAACAGGUUAAGCUGACGAGUGGCGAACGGGCGAGUAAUGUAUCGGAACGUGCCCAGUCGCGGGGGAUAACUGCUCGAAAGAGCAGCUAAUACCGCAUACGACCUGAGGGUGAAAGCGGGGGAUCGCAAGACCUCGCGCGAUUGGAGCGGCCGAUAUCAGAUUAGGUAGUUGGUGAGGUAAAGGCUCACCAAGGCGACGAUCUGUAGCUGGUCUGAGAGGACGACCAGCCACACUGGGACUGAGACACGGCCCAGACUCCUACGGGAGGCAGCAGUGGGGAAUUUUGGACAAUGGGCGCAAGCCUGAUCCAGCCAUGCCGCGUGCGGGAAGAAGGCCUUCGGGUUGUAAACCGCUUUUGUCAGGGAAGAAAAGGUUCUGGCUAAUACCUGGGACUCAUGACGGUACCUGAAGAAUAAGCACCGGCUAACUACGUG
rnacentral:rRNA from 1 species